rnacentral:lncRNA from 1 species
AUGACACCUGGGCCUGCCACCAACUUCAAAUCCAGGGGCUGCUUCCCUGCCACAGUUUCAGAAUGCAGUGGACCCAGUGGCUGUGCUGGCUCCUUCAGAACAGAGGACAAUGGUUCAUUCCCUCAGGGGCUCUCUGCCAAGGAUCCAGGCCAGAAAAAGGACCAGGGGCACAUCUGGCUGGAGUGGCCCCAAGUGCAGCUGGAAUCUCCCACAUCCUUUCUAGACACGCUGGGAGCUGUUCAGGCCCCAGGCUGGGGUCUGGCCCUGUGCUCUCUCUUCCUUUCAUUCAGGCAGUUGGAUCUCCUCAGAACGUACUCAGCACCUGACCUUCUCUGAGGCUCUGCACAAACGCCACCCUCUGGAAACUUUCCCUGGAACCCUGGGCUGAAACUCUCCUUUCUGCCUUUGCCCCUUGUCAUUUCUUGUUGUUAGGACCAUUUCAUUAACAAACAUAUCCCGCCU